rnacentral:rRNA from 1 species
GGGGAAUAUUGCACAAUGGGCGCAAGCCUGAUGCAGCGACGCCGCGUGCGGGAUGGAGGCCUUCGGGUUGUAAACCGCUUUUGUUCAAGGGCAAGGCACGGUUUCGGCCGUGUUGAGUGGAUUGUUCGAAUAAGCACCGGCUAACUACGUGCCAGCAGCCGCGGUAAUACGUAGGGUGCGAGCGUUAUCCGGAUUUAUUGGGCGUAAAGGGCUCGUAGGCGGUUCGUCGCGUCCGGUGUGAAAGUCCAUCGCCUAACGGUGGAUCUGCGCCGGGUACGGGCGGGCUGGAGUGCGGUAGGGGAGACUGGAAUUCCCGGUGUAACGGUGGAAUGUGUAGAUAUCGGGAAGAACACCAAUGGCGAAGGCAGGUCUCUGGGCCGUCACUGACGCUGAGGAGCGAAAGCGUGGGGAGCGAAC